UGAACCAGCGGAGGGAUCAUUACUGAGUUUACGCUCUACAACCCUUUGUGAACAUACCUAUAACUGUUGCUUCGGCGGGUAGGGUCUCCGCGGCCCUCCCGGCCUCCCGCCUCCGGGCGGGUCGGCGCCCGCCGGAGGAUAACCAAACUCUGAUUUAACGACGUUUCUUCUGAGUGGUACAAGCAAAUAAUCAAAACUUUUAACAACGGAUCUCUUGGUUCUGGCAUCGAUGAAGAACGCAGCGAAAUGCGAUAAGUAAUGUGAAUUGCAGAAUUCAGUGAAUCAUCGAAUCUUUGAACGCACAUUGCGCCCGCCAGCAUUCUGGCGGGCAUGCCUGUUCGAGCGUCAUUUCAACCCUCAAGCUCUGCUUGGUGUUGGGGCCCUACAGCUGAUGUAGGCCCUCAAAGGUAGUGGCGGACCCUCUCGGAGCCUCCUUUGCGUAGUAACUUUACGUCUCGCACUGGGAUCCGGAGGGACUCUUGCCGUAAAACCCCCA
rnacentral:sRNA from 1 species